AGUGAACGCUGGCGGUAGGCCUAACACAUGCAAGUCGAACGGCAGCACAGUAAGAGCUUGCUCUUACGGGUGGCGAGUGGCGGACGGGUGAGGAAUACAUCGGAAUCUACUUUUUCGUGGGGGAUAACGUAGGGAAACUUACGCUAAUACCGCUUACGACCUACGGGUGAAAGCAGGGGAUCUUCGGACCUUGCGCGAUUGAAUGAGCCGAUGUCGGAUUAGCUAGUUGGCGGGGUAAAGGCCCACCAAGGCGACGAUCCGUAGCUGGUCUGAGAGGAUGAGCAGCCACACUGGAACUGAGACACGGUCCAGACUCCUACGGGAGGCAGCAGUGGGGAAUAUUGGACAAUGGGCGCAAGCCUGAUCCAGCCAUACCGCGUGGGUGAAGAAGGCCUUCGGGUUGUAAAGCCCUUUUGUUGGGAAAGAAAAGCAGCAGGUUAAUACCCCGCUGUUCUGACGGUACCCAAAGAAUAAGCACCGGCUAACUUCGUG
rnacentral:rRNA from 1 species